AAACCAUCCGACCACAACCGACCGAACCGAAUGCAAAAAAACAAUUCGGGUCGGAUUACACUGGGUCACGGGUUAAAGCGGGUGGUUCGUUCAGUUUAAAGUGGGCUACUUCGGUUCGGGUUAGAAUAUUAGGCCCAUCGGUGGCCGAAUCCGACCGAACCUAUUUUGUUUUAAUACUAUUAUUAUAAUUACUACUAUAUAUUUACUAGUAAGAGUUUGCCCAUCAGCACAACCCUAAUUUCUUUCUCUCUCAGUCCCUCACUAUGUUUUCCUUCUUCUCUUGUCUCUGCCGCCGUGGUAUAAUGGUGCCAAGAUUUGAAGCUACAAAAUUUGGUUCUUCUUUGUUGAAGUUAAAUCUUACCAAAGUUGUGCUUUGAUUUCGAGGUUCAACAAAAAGAUGUAAUGAAGAAUGAUUCUUCUUUUAAGCUUUGAAAGAUAACUAAAGUGUUCUGAAAUUACAGGUCUUGAUAAGGUCUAGAUGAUUAUAACAGAGCAAGAUCUUUGAGUUAAUGUGAUGUCUUAUUCAAAUGUUCAAUUCUUAUUUUUUAGUUUUUCCUUUUUGGAGGUUGUUAAUUGAUUUGUUGUGUAUUUUUGUGAAACGGGGCUAGAGGAUUAUAACAGGAGGAUUAUAACAAAGCGUUACUUUUAUGUUUAUGGAUUUCGACAUUCUUGGUGACCAUGGUGGCUGAAUAUAGAUGCAAGUGAGAAAUUAUGAGUUUAAUGGAGAUUUGAAGUUUGACUCUUUGGUCAUGGGGCUGGAAGUAAGAUAGCAGUGAAGAGAAUUUUCGUUGACUGUGUAAUGGAAUUUGUAAUCCAUUAAGGGAUUUGUUGUUGGCUAUUUACAAGUGCAUUUAUUGAUUUGUAAUGCAUUUUUGUUGAAUGUUUUAGUGUGUGAAGUUACUGCAUUUUAUUAAGCUCAAAAAUAUCUAUGGUUGCAUCAAAAUAUGGAUGCUCCAAAAUACUGUGUUGACUGUGUAAUGAAACUUGUAUGUUUAAAAUAGGAUAGUUUAGAAAUUUAUGUGAUAAAGUGGUUCAUAGUUAACCCAGUAUUAUAAAAAUUUUAUAUUAUUUUUGGAUGA